rnacentral:tRNA from 1 species
GGUUGGGUAACAUAAUUGGUUAAUGUAUAAGAUUGCAAAUCUUGUAAUGACGGUUCAAGUCCGUCCCCAACCU